UCCACCGCAAAGCCAAUCACUGGAAGCAGGGGGCGGGCGGUGACUCUUCCUAGUAGGUCGGUAGGAUGAGGGAUAAAAUAUAGCGAAAGGGGGAUCCAAUCCGGUUUGAGCUAGUUCUGGCAGUGAUCGGACGUUUAUGUUAAGUUAGAGUCCUCUGUAGGUUUAAACAGACGUGUGUAGGGUUUGCCUGACAUUGCAUUAGUUUCCUGUAAGCAGCUGAAGAGCACUGUCCCUUUUGUCUUUUAUCCUCUGCCUUACAACCUAAGCAACAAUGGGAAGGAAAAAACAGUCUGACGCAGCGGCCUCCGAAGAGCCAAGGAGGAAGUCUCAAAGGUUGUCAGACAAAGAAACUGCGCCCAAAGCAGUACCAGAGAAGAAAAAGGCGCCUCCCAAGCCCAAAAAGGUAAAGGAAGUAAAGGCCAAGACAGAAGAGAAAAAGGAAGAAGAACCUCAGGCCGAGGCUGAAGAGGUCCCUGCAGAAAAUGGAGACACCAAAGCUGAAGAGGCUGCAGCAGCAGAUGAAGCUGACAAAAAGGAGGAAGAAGAAGAAGAGGAGGAGGAGGCAGCUGAGGAGGACAAAGCAGCCGAGUAGUAGAAACAUCCUGAAACUCACUCACCAGUGGUCCAUGUACCUCCUUUCUUGUACAACACAGAGAAUAUUUUUAUCUACUAUUUUCUUAAAACAGCAGUGUUUUUAGGGAAGUGACUUCAUAUAUACAUUUUAGAAAGAUACUACAAAUUCCAGUUUUGUGGCUUCUGUGAAGGGAACAUUUUGGUCAUCUUGUUGUUUUUUUUUUUUCCACAAUGUACUUUUUUUUUUCUCUCUCUCUCAUCUCUUGCUUCCUUUAGUUUGUAGUUGUCUGCAUGACAUUCAGUGAUGCUGAUAUCAGGAAUUUGAUGCUGAAUUCUGGGAGAGUCUGAGGCAUUCCAGAGGUGUCUUGAGGGAUUUUGUAACCUGUACUGUUUGAAUUUAAUACUGUACAUCAUAAUACUAAUGAGUUUAUAGGAUGAUUGAAAGUCUGAGAGUUGUGUUGUAUGCUUAGUAACUUUUUUUGUACACAUUAUUUUGUUUAAACUUGUUCAGUAGUACUGGAAAUGGUUGGGUUGAUUUAUAUAUUUUUUUUAUUUUUUUUUUAUUUUAUAUAAUUUAGCCUCAUUUUAAGAACAUUUCCAUAGCUGCGGUGAAACCAAUAUUUUUCUUUUGAGUCACUGAUGGUACAUCUAAGUACAUGAUUUAAAAGAUGCAUGCUCUCAAUUUUGGAAAAAACAAAACAAAAGGCAUUAGAUUUGACUGUACUUGUCAGUGCUUAUCCCUCUAGGAUAACUGUACUGGUAUUUUCACUUUAGUCAAGGAAAUGUAUGUGCCACAAACUGGUGGAUAUUUCCACUGUGGUUUAGGGAUUUCUACCAAUGUACAAUUUCCUCCCUUUAAAUAUGUUUUAAAAACUUUGUUAUAAAUGGUAUAAAAUGCCAAUUAAAAUGGACUUUGCCCUUAUUACUGGUUUUUGGAGGUUGUUUUAAUUCCAGUCUGUUUGCAAACAGUAUUUUUACUUUUCCUCUCAUUCAUACUCAUUGAUGUGUGUUCAAAGUGCUGGUUCAGUGUCUUUCCCAAGGACACUUAUGGACAGGAGGUGCUGAGGAUUCACCAACACUGGUUUGUUAACACCAUACUCUGCCUCUUAACCUGCAGCAAACUAGAAUCAAGUUAUUGGAACUGUGUUGGUUCACUGUGUAUAUUGUAUAUCCAAACAGAAUAUACACAAAAAUACAUGCUAAUCUGUUAUAUUGAAAAAGUAUGUAUUUUGUUGAAAAAAAUCUGUGAACUGGGGACCUUUACAAAGUUUCUGUCACCCUCUCUUGCAUGAUAUUUCAUUGCUGCAAUAUCACCUAAUUCUGUCAAUGUAAAAAAAAAAAAUGUUGCCGUGUUAGCUCUUGGUCAAGAACCUCAACGUCAAUUGGUCCUUUGAAAAUAUGGUUAAUAAAUCCUAG
rnacentral:lncRNA from 1 species